UUGGCAGCUCCCCUUCCUCCUAGGUGGGACAGCAAGCCCCAAUGAAUAGGUCCUCUGCUGCAUCACAGCCAUCCUCCUGGUACUGUAGUCCCAAUUGAAUUUGGAGAACGUGAUAUUAAGACUCCAGAAAGAUGUCUUCUGAACAGCAGCAGUGCAAGCAGCCUUGCCAGCCACCUCCAGUGUGCCCACCUAAGUGCCCUGAUCCUUGCUCACCU